rnacentral:lncRNA from 1 species
GUUGGCCAGGCUGGAAAACUACCUUUUUUUCUUUUUUCUUUUUUUAUUUUUUAGUUGAAACUCAAGAUAAAAUAAGUAAGCAAAUGGAGAAUUCAAGGCCUGAGAGGUCUCACAGAAGGAGAGCAAGGAGCUGGUGCUUGGAUUCCCUGCACUGACGCCCCCAGACACUCUUGCACACUCAUUCCCUCCUGGCAGAAUGGAGAAAACGCUCCUUCUCCUUUGAAGGCCAAUCCUUCUUCUUAUGGCUGUGGCUCUCUUCCCCUUCUCAAGGGAACUUGUUUCUGAGUGAUUCUCUCCCUCUAGAACCAAACUAUCAAUGCACCAAGGCAAUCUAGUUUCUCUCACUUAACAUGCCAUUGAACUCAUAUGCCCCAUGCAACUUUUCAUUGUCUGGAGCCCAUUUUCUUCCCCUCUCCUACCUUCUCCCGGGUCCUGAACUUAAUGACACAAAAGCUAUGGAAAGCCUUGUUGGUAAAGUUUUAUGUAAUUAAGAUUGAUUUUUUUAUAGGUUUUCUUAGCACAGCUGUACAAGUUAUUCUAAAGGAAGAAAACAUCAAAUUUGAAAAGUAAUCGGAAGAAGAGAGAGAGUGGGAAGAUGUAAACCACAGCUGUUAAAAGUCAGAGAUGCGUGAUUAACGUAGCCAGGGAUUGUAUUUUUCUUAAAAAAUUUAAAUAUUUUUAAUAAGCUUUUCACAUCAUACCAUUAAUACAAGAUUAUUUUAACUAGCAAAAAUGCAAUACAAAAAUAUGUAAAAGCAUAGCUAAUUCUCCCCAUCUUCAAUCACACCCAUCCAUAAAGAAACCUGUGAUAAGAGCGUCUAUCUCCUCCUCUCUUGUCUUUCCUGAUACACCCUGUUCAGCCCUCAUCAGCCCUACUACUCACUGAAAGUGCUCUUAUCAAUAUCACCAAUAAUCCACCUUGUCAAAUCCAGUAACUCCUCUUCCUUCCUCAUUUGCCCAACCAUCAGCACUGGGUGUUGCCUGCCACUCCCUCCUUUUAAUCCCUUUUCGUGGACUUCCUGCUCUGCCUGGUGAGGUCUCUGUUGGUUCAGCUCUCACCUCCCUGGCUGCUGCUUCUCAGGCUCCUUUGCUAGCUCUUCCUCCUUCAACUGACCCCCCUAGAUGUGGGGCUGCCCCAGGCAUAGUCCUGAGCCUUCUCCACUCUUUAUAUGCUCUGCAUGUGACUUUGCCCUUGUCCCUGGAUUUAAGUAACAUAUUUAUGCUGAAGAUUCCCACUUAAAACUCUAACUCAGAUCUCUCCUUUGAGCAUGAGACUCAAAUAUCUAACUCCCUAUUUGACACUGCCACUUGGAUGAUAUUUAACAUGUACCACAAACUUAACACGUCCAAAAUAUUUAUCCUCCUAAUCUCAUCCUACACAACCCACUGCCAACUCACUGAUAAAUGGUACCAGUUUCUCAGAUUCAAAAUCUCAGUCAUUCCUCAGGCAUCCUUUUUUCUCAGCCUUCCAACAUGCAAUCCCUUAGUGUGUCUUCGCAAUUCUACCUUCUAGGUAUAUUCCAAACUCACCAGCCCACCUUGUCCACAGUCACCACUCUAGCCUGGGCCACCUUAUCUCUUAUCUGGUCUACUGCUACCAAUGUCCAUCUGCUCUCUCUGCUUCCUUAUCACCCCCUCUAAUCUGUUCUUCACAAAACGGAAAAUGAUUUUCUUACAUCAAAACCAUGUCUCUCUCCAGUAUAAAACUCUGCAGUGACUCCCAUCACACUUGGAAUGAAUCUGACAUUCCCUAACACGGCCAUGAGGCUCUCUGCCUUCCCCCUGCCCUUCAUCCACUCCCCCCUUACUCACUGGGCUUCUCUUAGGUCCUCUCUGAGACCAAGUGCUUUGUUCUCAGGGCCUUUGCUUUAACGUUCUGGGCCGCCUGUCCCCCAUUUUCACUUGGUUAGCUCCCGCUGAGCCUUUAGGUUUCAAGUGAAAACUCAGGGGAACUUCCCGUGACCACUCCAACUGCACAGGGCCUUCUGCCAUUCUCGGCUGCAGUCUUUGUUUAUUUCAUGCACAGCUCUUCUCCCAACUUGCAAUGCUGACAUUUAUUUUCUGUUCACUUGUUUUUGCCUGUAUUUCUCAUAAGGGCAAAGACAACAUCUCUUCACGUCGCUGCUACAUUCCCAGUGUUUACAACAAUGCUUGGCACAUGGCAAAUUCUCAAUAAAAACAAACUGACGGGAUGAAUGAAAGGGGUUCUUCCCCAUCCCACCUCCACCCAUCAAUGCUGACAGAGAAUUUCUGAUGAAGGCAAGGAAAGGCAGCCAUACAUAGACAUAAAUGAAUUGUAAAUCCAAACAGGUGAGCUUUAGGAAUCCCAGAACACUCCUUCGUUGCUCUUAUUUCUAAGGAUUCUGAGCAAUGGUGUCAAAGCAUUUCCAAACACAAUCAAAUCUGCAGAUUCUUAAACAACAUGCCAUCCACAGUUCAGAUUAUACUCUUUCUAAGUCUCUUCCAAAUACUUAAAUUAGCUAUAUACAUAUUAAAUUCUGGAAUUGAAUUAGAUAUAUCCUAGGCAAAACAGAAAACUUGAGGCUCCAGAUGUAGGUAGCACAUAUAUAAUGAUUUUUUACUUGCAGGCUAAAUGAUUUUCUAUUUGAAAGCCAAUUUCACAAUCACCCUCUACCUGAACUGAGAUCAAAAAAGCAUGCUGUUUAAAGACAUGCUUGUAUGCAUAUAUUAAUGUUUAUGGCUACUUCUAUACAGGCAUAUGUAUACAAAUGUACACACAUAGAGGCUAGGAGGAAACAAAGAGUCAUCUAUUACUUGAUUCAGAACUAACUGGUAGAUGCUCUUAAAGACAGAAUUAAAAUGGGCUGCAUUUGUCAAUUCAGCCUGAGAAGAUGGUUUAAAUUUUUCUUUUGAGACAUGAACCAACAUAAAUGAUGAAGCUUUCUCUAGUGUCUUAACAAAGCCACAGUGUUUUAUAUCAAUUUCUGCAUGAAGACCCAGAACUAACUACCUCAGAGUACUCAACUGUUUAAUUGUGACAGCCUGAUCAGAGAAGCCAGCACCACUUCUCAGGGCAAUUCAACUUUGAAGCAAUGAGUUUAUGUACGAAGAACAUGAGCACACAUCCAUGCUGUAUUUUCAACUAACAGCUGAAUGUCCUCUUUCCCCGUCUUCUGCUUUACACUGAGCUCCCAGGGGCAGGAGCAAGAAGACAAGCUUCUACAGGACAGUUGGCGUUUGGAUGAAUAUUGAAAGAUGUGUGGAAUUUCAGAAAAUAGUAAAGAAAAAUGAGCAGAACCAGGAUGGGUCAUGGAGAAACGAGGCAGAGGUAAUGAUGAGCUUGUUCCUGACAUAAAUGGUCACAUGCGGUCACUGAAGGAGGUUUACAGGCCUUUGGGGACUCCAGCUUUUUUUAAGAGCAGAAACCCAAACACCAGUCGGAUUUUUAAAGUGAACAGCAACAGUGAAAAAACACUUACCUGGAGAUAAAAAGGAAGUAAACUGAUA